GAUGAACGCUGGCGGCGUGCCUAAUACAUGCAAGUCGAGCGAACGGACGAGAAGCUUGCUUCUCUGAUGUUAGCGGCGGACGGGUGAGUAACACGUGGAUAACCUACCUAUAAGACUGGGAUAACUUCGGGAAACCGGAGCUAAUACCGGAUGAUAUUUUGAACCGCAUGGUUCAAAAGUGAAAGACGGUCUUGCUGUCACUUAUAGAUGGAUCCGCGCUGCAUUAGCUAGUUGGUAAGGUAACGGCUUACCAAGGCAACGAUGCAUAGCCGACCUGAGAGGGGGAUCGGCCACUCGGGAACUGAGACACGGUCCAGACUCCUACGGGCGGCAGCAGUAGGGAAUCUUCCGCAAUGGGCGAAAGCCUGACGGAGCAACGCCGCGUGAGUGAUGAAGGUCUUCGGAUCGUAAAACUCUGUUAUUAGGGAAGAACAUAUGUGUAAGUAACUGUGCACAUCUUGACGGUACCUAAUCAGAAAGCCACGGCUAACUACGUG
rnacentral:rRNA from 1 species